rnacentral:lncRNA from 1 species
GAAGGUGCUGGUGGUGGGGUUCUUGGAUGUAUUCACCAUCUAGGACCAAAAGUAUUUGCUGAAGUGUUGCAAACUUGUCAGAAGUUGAUGUGCAGCAGAGAGUAGCAACUCUGACAAUAAAAGGGCUCUGGACUGGUUCUCAGCCAUUAGUAAAAUGACUUGCCGCACACCUGCCGGAGUCCCAAGGGGCCACAUAGAUCACAAGUGAGUGCUUUUUCCUUGUUCAACUCCUGAGUCUUUUCAUGAAGAGGUAAGUUAUGAGAACAUAACUCCUUGA